AAAGUACUCCCUCCGUCCCAAAAUUCUUGUCUUAGAUUUGUCUAGAUACAAAUGUAUCAAGUCACAUUUUAGUAUUAGAUACAUCCAUAUCUAGAAAAAUCUAAGACAAGAAAUUUGGGAUAGAGGGAGUAGUUG
rnacentral:pre_miRNA from 1 species